rnacentral:rRNA from 1 species
AUGCAGUGUUCAACUCCGUUACGUAACCGCCUUCCUGCAGAGAGAGAGGGAGGGAGGGAGGGCAUGCCAGCGUGGCGUGGCGUGGCGUACUUGCAUAAGUACACCGCCUUCCUGCAGAGAGACUUGGUUCGUCCCCGGCAACGGCCCCGGCCUCCUCCCUAUCAAGGUUGCUUGCUCAACUCCAUUCCCGACCCAGGCGCAGCCCCGGUCAAGUCGCACCGCUCGAUGGAUCGAUUGAAGAGGCUGUGCAAGGUGCUCGGGUCCAACUACCAGGAGCGGCUGGAUAAGUAUACCUGGACGCGAGCCGAGCCGAGCCGAGCUCGGGCCGAGCCAGCCAUUAGCUCGCCCAGCACGAGCCGAGCCAGCCCGAGCUAA